UCAUCUUGCGGUUCUCAAACUAUGGGGGCACUUUUUUUUUCUUUAAAAAGUGCCGCCAGGUUUUAGGGCCUGCCGGUUGAG
ensembl:miRNA Mir290 microRNA 290